rnacentral:rRNA from 1 species
GAUGAACGCUGGCGGCGUGCUUAACACAUGCAAGUCGAACGGGGAAUUUUAUUUCGGUAGAAUUCCUAGUGGCGAACGGGUGAGUAACGCGUAGGCAACCUGCCCUUCAGACGGGGACAACAUUCCGAAAGGGAUGCUAAUACCGGAUACGAAGCUUCUGCCGCAUGACGGAAGCUUGAAAGGUGCCCUCAAGCACCGCUGAAGGAUGGGCCUGCGUCCGAUUAGCUAGUUGGUGAGGUAACGGCCCACCAAGUCGACGAUCGGUAGCCGGACUGAGAGGUUGAACGGCCACAUUGGGACUGAGACACGGCCCAG